GACGAAGGGCGCGAGCGUUGUCCGGAUUUAUUGGGCGUAAAGAGCUCGUAGGCGAUUUGUCGCGUCGGAUGUGAAAUCCCAGGGCUCAACCCUGGGCCUGCAUUCGAUACGGGCAGACUAGAGUAUGGCAGGGGAGACUGGAAUUCCUGGUGUAGCGGUGAAAUGCGCAGAUAUCAGGAGGAACACCGGUGGCGAAGGCGGGUCUCUGGGCCAAAACUGACGCUGAGGAGCGAAAGCGUGGGGAGCGAACAGG
rnacentral:rRNA from 1 species